CAAGAGGUAGUUUAUUUAAAAUAUUAAUUUUGGGGAUUAGUGAAGAGGUUAUUUCCUUUCUCUUGA
rnacentral:tRNA from 1 species